GUUUUGCGUUAGGGAUUGCAGCGGAAAUACUUUUUUGCAUCGCCUUUUCGGCGAGAAAAAAAAGAUUGUAGCGAAAAGCCCGACCCGCC
rnacentral:sRNA from 1 species